rnacentral:rRNA from 1 species
GCUUGUCUCAAAGAUUAAGCCAUGCAUGUCUAAGUAUAAGCGAAUUUAUACAGUGAAACUGCGAAUGGCUCAUUAAAUCAGUUAUAGUUUAUUUGAUAGUACCUUACCAAAGGAUAACCCUGGUAAUUCUAGAGCUAAUACUUAUUAAAAACCCCGACUGUUUGGGAGGGGUGUAUUUAUUAGAUAAAAAAUCAAUGCCUUCGGGCUCUUUGAUGAUUCAUAAUAACUUCUCGAAUCGCAUGGCUUCGUGCCGGCGAUGGUUCAUUCAAAUUUCUGCCCUAUCAACUUUCGAUGGUAGGAUAGUGGCCUACCAUGGUGGCAACGGGUAACGGGGAAUUAGGGUUCGAUUCCGGAGAGGGAGCCUGAGAAACGGCUACCACAUCCAAGGAAGGCAGCAGG